rnacentral:misc_RNA from 1 species
AAGUCGUAACAAGGUUUCCGUAGGUGAACCUGCGGAAGGAUCAUUACCGAGUUAGGGUCUUAACUGGCCCGACCUCCAACCCUUUGUCUACCUUACCUUAUGUUGCUUCGGCGAGCCCGUUCUUUUAGUUAAGAACCGCCGGGAGUUUUAACCAACUUCUGGUCAGUGCUCGUCGGUAGCCCUUAUUAAACUCUUGAAUAAUUAUGUCGUCUAAGUAAAAAGCACUUAAUAAAUUAAAACUUUCAACAACGGAUCUCUUGGUUUUG